CCCAAGAGAUCGGGAUAACACCUAGGAAACAGAUGCUAAUACCGGAUAACAACAGAUGAUGCCUAUCAACUGUUUAAAAGAUGGUUCUGCUAUCACUCUUGGAUGGACCUGCGGUGCAUUAGCUAGUUGGUAGGGUAACGGCCUACCAAGGCGAUGAUGCAUAGCCGAGUUGAGAGACUGAUCGGCCACAUUGGGACUGAGACACGGCCCAAACUCCUACGGGAGGCAGCAGCA
rnacentral:rRNA from 1 species